rnacentral:rRNA from 1 species
GCSAGGGAAUUACNAGCACAAGCUUAAAACCCAAAGGAUUUGACGGUGUCCCAUCCCCCUAGAGGAGCCUGUUCUAUAAUCGAUGAUCCUCGAUAUACCUCACCAUUUUUUGCUUUUUUCAGCCUGUAUACCUCCGUCGCAAGCUUACCAUUURAAUGCCCCAAAGUAAGUUCAACGGGCCCCCCCGCCAAUACKUCAGGUCAAGGUGCASCCAAUAAAAUGGAAAGCAAUGGGCUACAAUUUCUAACAUARAACAAACRAAAAACUACWUGAAACAUAGUCAUGAAGGCGGAUUUAGUAGUAAAAAAARACUAGCNAGCUUCUUUUAACAAAAGGCCCCGGGAC